rnacentral:hammerhead_ribozyme from 1 species
AUCCGACUGACGAGUUCUAAAUGGGACGAAAUGUGCGUCCUAGAU